rnacentral:rRNA from 1 species
CCUACGGGAGGCAGCAGUAGGGAAUAUUGCUCAAUGGGGGAAACCCUGAAGCAGCAACGCCGCGUGGAGGAUGAAGGUUUUCGGAUUGUAAACUCCUUUUGUUAGAGAGGAUAAUGACGGUCUCUAACGAAUAAGCACCGGCUAACUCCGUGCCAGUAGCCGCGGUAAUACGGAGGGUGCAAGCGUUACUCGGAAUCACUGGGCGUAAAGGGCGCGUAGGCGGGAUAGCAGUUCAGAUGUGAAAUCCUAUGGCUUAAGCAUAGAACUGCAUUUGAAACUGUUAUUCUAGAGUAUGGGAGAGGUAGGUGGAAUUCGUGGUGUAGGGGUAAAAUCCGUAGAGAUCAAGAGGAAUACUCAUUGCGAAGGCGACCUGCUAGAACAUGACUGACGCUGAUGCGCGAAAGCGUGGGGAGCAAACAGGAUUAGAUACCCCUGUAGUC